rnacentral:rRNA from 1 species
CCCUUAGAUGUUCUGGGCCGCACACGCGCUACACUGAAGGAGGCAGCGUGUACUCCUGGAUCGAAAGAUUUGGGUAACCCGCGAAUCUCCUUCGUGCUAGGGAUUGAGGUUUGCAAUUAUCCUUCAUGAACGAGGAAUUCCCAGUAAGUGCAAGUCAUAAGCUUGCGCUGACUACGUCCCUGCCCUUUGUACACACCGCCCGUCGCUACUACCGAUUGAAUGAUUUAGUGAGGACUUCGGACUGGGACCGAUGCGGCUUUCGGGCUGCGUCGGUAGUCUGGAAAGAUGUCCAAACUGUAUCAUUUAGAGGAAGUAAAANUCGUAACA